GCAGGCGUGAGGCGCCGAGGGCCAGCAGGGACGAAGCUCGCAGGGACAGAUCCCUUUGUACCGCCAUCGAGUUUGGGUGUGACUACUCCAGGAAAGAUCGGACUUCUACAAUACAGACGCAGGUGUUGCUUGGUGACAGGCCUCCUUAAGACCCCAAACACCUGCAGGAUUCGGAAAUAUGCGUCGGGCGCCGGCGGGCUGCAAGGUGAUGCUACACACGUUUGGCAGCGAACACUGUAUCCGAACAUCCUGGACAUUUAAUUCUGCCACACCCGCAGACGGGUGUACUCCACCAUCACCCAUCCCCCAAACUCAUGCACGCCUCCCAGCGUUGUCCUCCUCUCCCAUCCAUACUCAUCAAUAGCAGCUGGAGAGUGUGCAGAAAAGGGCGUGCAGGGUCAUCCUUGGCCCUGCCUACACGAGUCUGAGUCUGCCCAGGCUGUCGGCCAGACACCAAGAGGCUGGAGAAGUUUGGGAAGUACCUGUUGCGCCAGCCACGCCUACGCCACAUGUUGCCGUCCGACGCGCCUCGCCCAUUCUGUGCCACUCGACACCACAACCUGAUAACGCCCCUAAAGGCGCCUAAAGGUCACGGACCGGCGCGCCGGCGAUGGGGGUGGACGUUGCGUGGAUUGCGUCCGAACCGGAACAACAGGCUGACCGAACAUCUCCAGACAAAAUGUUAGAGAAACGUCUCCCACAGACAAUCAGAGACAUCUUAUACCAUUGUAUCAUAUUUAUAAUACUAGAUGAGGAUCUUUACUGCUGUCACCAAAGUCAUUCCCCCCUUUAAGGAUUUCGGAAAAACCGAGAUAUUGAUCUGAAGACGAAAUAUAUUUUUAAGCCAUGGGAGGCCUUCAGCUGGCUAAGAAUGAAACCCCUGAGAGGGAGGACGUAGAGACAACUCAACCAUGGUGACCGUCAAGUCCUCAGAUAAUUUAGCAGGGACCUUUGUACCCCUGGCCACUUCACAUUUACGAACAAACGUUUAAAUAGGGGGUUUGCAGUCCAAAGUUCUGCAUUGUAUAGAUAGCAUGCUACAAUAUACUUAUGUACUAUU